AUCCUGUUUGAAAUAGAAAUCAUGACUGAAAUAGAAACAAUGUUAUCAAUACUACUUUAUUCCAUCUGGUGUUUUCUUGCAAAUUGUUUUGAGGCUAUUAUGUCUUGACUGCUCAAUCCAAAAUAUUUGAUUCCUAAAGAAAGUCUGUAAUAUCUUUGUCAUGUUUAAGCAGUGGCCUUUAGCAACUGGGAAACACGUGUAACUGUUACAACUAUGGCAUCAUAUUCACCAUCGUCUUCGCCAUCACCGUCAGCACCACCUUCAGCAGCACCAGCAGCAUCAUUGUCUUCAUCAACAUCAUUGAAUUUGUUGAUUUCAUUCUAUUGGCCAUGAAUCAUGUUGUCUCUCCCAAUAUGAACUGCAGAAAAAUGAGGUUUCCAGACAAGAUCACAUUUCUGCUUGCUCCAUGCUACGAUGGAAUCAAUCAAAGCAAAUAAUGCUGGGAAGGCUGAGAGAUAGCAAAGGAAUAUUGGUAAAUAUGGUCUUAUUCCAACAAACCAAAUAACCUAAGAGAACGAUUUGUGGAUCUGACAGGAGAUACUGCAAUUGAAUAUUAUUUUGCUGCAGCAGAAUUGUUGCUACUGCUGUCAGCACACAGCAGGUGGUUGGAAGUUGGCAACUUUUAUGAAAGCCAUUUAUAUUACAGUACAUUUUAUGUAAACAGUGGCAAUAUAAAGCUAAACUGUUCCAGGAAUGAGAUGCAAAUACUAGAAAUGGGUUUUCUUCAAUAAGAAUUUAG
rnacentral:lncRNA from 1 species